GAUGAACGCUGGCGGCGUGCCUAACACAUGCAAGUCGAGCGGCAGCGCGGGGUGCUUGCACCCUGUCGGCGAGCGGCGGACGGCUGAGUAACGCGUGGGAACGUGCCCCAAAGUGAGGAAUAACUGCCCGAAAGGGUAGCUAAUACCGCAUAUUAUCUUCGGAUCAAAGGAUUUAUCCGCUUUGGGAGCGGCUCGCGUCGGAUUAGGUAGUUGGUGAGGUAAUGGCUCACCAAGCCGACGAUCCGUAGCUGGUCUGAGAGGAUGACCAGCCAGACUGGAACUGAGACACGGUCCAGACUCCUACGGGAGGCAGCAGUGAGGAAUCUUCCACAAUGGGCGAAAGCCUGAUGGAGCAACGCCGCGUGCAGGGCGAAGGCCUUCGGGUUGUAAACUGCUUUUAUAAGUGAGGAAUAUGACGGUAACUUAUGAAUAAGGAUCGGCUAACUACGUG
rnacentral:rRNA from 1 species